rnacentral:lncRNA from 1 species
CUACGUGAGGUUGACUAUAGAUCCGGUGAAGGCACGCUCUAGUCUAGUCUUGAAUCCACAAGGAGUUUAAGAACAUGGACCCGACUCGGAGAUCUGAAGAAGGUACUCACUCACCAUUUUCCUCUGGAUUUUAGGGUUUUUUUAGAUUUUCCCCAAAUUUUUUGACCCUAGAAUCCCCAAAUUUCCGAAGAGUAAACAACGGAGCGUGCAGAUCGACGUGGGGUCGCCGUCGUCUUCUUCUCCGAGCUUCGGAGAGGUUUGCAUCUCCAAGACGGUUUCGGCCGAGGUGAAGCGCUUCGAAUUGGUAUGUGACUGUGUUGCUUUAGCUUGAAUUUUUGAGUUUUGUGUUGAGAAUUAGUGGAUUUGCUUAUUUCUGUUAUUUGGGUUUUGUGGGAUUUAGUCUUUGAUUUUGGUUUUGGUUGGAUGUUUGUGCUUAGGGUCGGCUUGGUUUUGUGAAAUUGAGUGAUAAAAAUUCGAAUUUGGUUUGUGAAUCUGAUGGGGUUGGAUUAGAGUCAACUGAAUUGCUUCUAGUAUUGAGAUUUUUUUUGUACCCUAUUUGUUUUGGAUUUCAUGGUUGUUCUUCCUGGUGAUUUCGAAGUGUAAAGUUUUAAUCUAGUCUUUAAGCUCUUGAGUUUUGAGGGAGCUCAAUGGGCUGAUUGAAUCUCUGGUCCGUCAACUUGAAUUGAGAGAGAGUUGUAAGCUGAAAACUUCUGCUGGAAAUCAUUCCCGUCAGUCAACUUCAACAGCUCAAAAGUUCCACUUCUAUGAUUUAUUCCAGAACAGCUUCUUCACAAAAGUUAUUCAAAAUCAUGUCUUCUAUUUGUGAUCGAAAAUCGUAGCAAUCCAACGGUUGUAUUGUUCUCAAUCAAGGUAAAUCUGCAUACUGCUCAAGAACACAAUUCUGUUUUGAUAGUCUACAAGACCACCUACAUUGCCUAGACCACCUACCCUAGAUUUUAUGAUACCCAGAAAGACCUGACAAGUUCUGAUUAUGUGCUGGUGAUUUUAAUGUGUGAAAUUUAAAAUCCUAUCUUUCAAUUUACUUGUUUGGUUUAUAAUCCUAGGUUGCACUAUUGUCUUUUAAUGAUGUUUUGAGAACUUCACAAUUUGCAGGAACAUAGGGAAAAAAGAAAGAGAGAGAGACUGCUAUGACAAAGUUUACAAUUAGCUUUUGUACAAGACUACAAGGUAUGCAAUUUUCUGAUUACUUAUGGACAAUAUAUGCACUUUGUACAUGGGUUUCCAUAGUCUUAAAUGGGGAUUACAAUAAAGAUUAAGUGAACCUUGUAAUUGAACUAUCAUUUGGCUGUAAGAAUUUAGUAUGACAUGAUUCAAGGUUUCUCAGGAUUUUUUAUUACUUUCAUUUCUCUGUUACCUUCUCUUUUGUCUCAAAUUGUCUCUGUAUUUUUAGAUGAGAAUCAUGGUUAACAGAAGUGUACAGAACCCUUUAGUGCUUUCCUCUGCCUUUUUAGUAAUUGUAACAUGGUAUAUCAUCCAAAUAAAAUUAGCCGGUUGUUGUCAUUCAAUACCAGAAACACAAACUAGUUUUGUUAGUAUGUGUCUAAUAUAUAAGUUCAUCUGUCCAAACUAAUGUUCUCUCUUUCGCAUGUAUUUGCAUAUACACUGUUUCUCCAGCAAAUUAAUGUCUAAUGCUCUCUUUCUUUGAUGUUUUGGGGGGUUCUCCUUUUGGUUUCGAAG